GUCAUGUGACAGGUAGGUCGGGGACUCGGGAGCCGCUGGUUGAUCGGAGAGGACGAGAUGGGUGGACACUCGGUGACGGUCCCUGUCAUUUGUUUCACCGUUCUGUGGGGGCUGGUCGGCUGCGUCCUGCCCUGGUUCGUGCCCAAGGGCCCGAACAGAGGAGUCAUCAUAACCAUGAUCGUGACCACAGCUGUCUGCUGCUACCUCUUCUGGCUCAUCGCUCUGCUGGCUCAGAUGAACCCUCUCUUUGGACCCCAGCUCAGAAAUGAAACCCUCUGGUACCUCCGCUACUUCUGGGAAUGAGGACAAGACGAUGCUGGAGCCAUUGGUGACGAGAGAUACAGCACGGUCAGGUCCUUCCAGCCACGCCACCCAGCAAACCCCGAAAAACCAGAUUUAACCUUAACCUCAUCAUGGGACAAUUAGCCUAUCAAUGUACCUGGUUCAACUUCGGCCUGUUGGGGGAAACCAGAAGACCCCCAGAGAAAACCCACGCAUUCAACAGGGAGGACCCAGAGACUCCUUACAGAGGAACACCGCGAUUGGACUCUGACACCAAGCUGUAACAGCACCGUACUAACCGUGGUGCCCAGCGGUUUCGAUGCCGACUGUCGAAGGUGUAUUUUUUGUUUGGAGUUUCCUGUUGUCUCUCCGCUCCCUCAGACCUAGUGCUGCAACAGAUUUCCCUUUCUCCGUCUCGAGUAAACUUCCACACUUUCUCUCUAUUCCAAGUCCGUAGCAAGGAAGAAAGGGAUGCUGUCACCCCAAUGAUUCAGGGGUUGAGAGUUUAGAGGAAAUCGCAGAAUUCUGGGAUGAAACUCUCACUAGUCUUGUUUAGUUGAAAGAACUCGACGCUACCCAAUUAAUUCUUUUUAUAAAGAGCACUAAUGUUUGAUUGUGUCAUGCAUAGUGAGUUAAUGUAAUAAAUCAUGUACUUCUGUGAAUUCUGUAGAAGAUUUAUUUUAUAAUUAAAAUAUUAAGAUGUUAAAAGUAAGCAACCUAUUCAAUACUGUAAACUAUAUUUAGCUGGUGCAAUAAAUGUGUUCCAACUUUAA